CCCCUACCCGGGGGGAUUUUUUUUCUGGCUCAGGAUGAACGCUCGCCUCUUGGAGGACACAUGCAAGUCGAACGAAGCACCUUGAUUUGAUUCUUCGGAUGAAGAUCUUGGUGACUGAGUGGCGGACGGGUGAGUAACGCGUGGGUAACCUGCCUCAUACAGGGGGAUAACAGUUAGAAAUGACUGCUAAUACCGCAUAAGACCACAGCACCGCAUGGUGCAGGGGUAAAAACUCCGGUGGUAUGAGAUGGACCCGCGUCUGAUUAGGUAGUUGGUGGGGUAACGGCCUACCAAGCCGACGAUCAGUAGCCGACCUGAGAGGGUGACCGGCCACAUUGGGACUGAGACACGGCCCAUUUUUCUACGGGAGGCAGCAGUGGGGAAUAUUGCACAAUGGGGGAAACCCUGAUGCAGCGACGCCGCGUGAGCGAUGAAGUAUUUCGGUAUGUAAAGCUCUAUCAGCAGGGAAGAAAAUGACGGUACCUGACUAAGAAGCACCGGCUAAAUACGUGCCAGCAGCCGCGGUAAUACGUAUGGUGCAAGCGUUAUCCGGAUUUACUGGGUGUAAAGGGAGCGUAGACGGAGUGGCAAGUCUGAUGUGAAAACUCGGGGCUCAACCCCGGGACUGCAUUGGAAACUGUCAAUCUAGAGUACCGGAGAGGUAAGCGGAAUUCCUAGUGUAGCGGUGAAAUGCGUAGAUAUUAGGAGGAACACCAGUGGCGAAGGCGGCUUACUGGACGGUAACUGACGUUGAGGCUCGAAAGCGUGGGGAGCAAACAGGAUUAGAUACCCUGGUAGUCCACGCCGUAAACGAUGACUACUAGGUGUCGGGCAGCAAAGCUGUUCGGUGCCGCAGCAAACGCAAUAAGUAGUCCACCUGGGGAGUACGUUCGCAAGAAUGAAACUCAAAGGAAUUGACGGGGACCCGCACAGCGGUGGACAUGUGGUUAAUUCGAAGCACGCGAAGACCUUACCUGCUCUUGACAUCUCCUGACCGGCAAGAAUGGUGCCUUUCUUCGGGACAGGAUGACAGUGGUGCAUGUUGCCUCAGCUCGGUCGGAAAUGUGGGUUAGUCCCCAACGAGCCAACCCUAUCUUAGUACCAGCGGUUGGCGGGCCUCUAAAAACUGCCAGGAUACCUGGAGAAGGGGGGAUACGUCAAUCUCAUGCCCUUUGACAGGGUACACCGUCUAAAUGGGUAACAAGGGGGGAACCCGGGUCGGCAAUCCAAAAAACGUCCAUUGGAUUGUAGUCUGCAACUCGACUACAUGAAGCUGGAAUCGCUAGUAAUCGCGAAUCAGAAUGUCGCGGUGAAUACGUUCCCGGGUCUUGUACACACCGCCCGUC
rnacentral:rRNA from 1 species